AGAGCGAACGCUGGCGGCAGGCUUAACACAUGCAAGUCGAGCGGGCGUAGCAAUACGUCAGCGGCAGACGGGUGAGUAACGCGUGGGAACAUACCUUUUGGUUCGGAACAACACAGGGAAACUUGUGCUAAUACCGGAUAAGCCCUUACGGGGAAAGAUUUAUCGCCGAAAGAUUGGCCCGCGUCUGAUUAGCUAGUUGGUAGGGUAAUGGCCUACCAAGGCGACGAUCAGUAGCUGGUCUGAGAGGAUGAUCAGCCACAUUGGGACUGAGACACGGCCCAAACUCCUACGGGAGGCAGCAGUGGGGAAUAUUGGACAAUGGGCGCAAGCCUGAUCCAGCCAUGCCGCGUGAGUGAUGAAGGCCCUAGGGUUGUAAAGCUCUUUUGUGCGGGAAGAUAAUGACGGUACCGCAAGAAUAAGCCCGGCUAACUUCGUGCCAGCAGCCGC
rnacentral:rRNA from 1 species